CCCACGAAACAACGGCGAUUCUAACUCCCACCACUAACUCCCAAAGCCAGUAUUCUAACUCAAACUCUUUCCUG
rnacentral:tRNA from 1 species